rnacentral:lncRNA from 1 species
CCUGAUCUGCAUGCAUGGAUGGAUCCAUCGAUUUGCUCAAGUUGAGUUUCACUUGCAGGUGCACGGGUUGCAGGUGCAGUUGUCCCCGCACUUGCAGCCUCCGUUCUCGGCUCCGGCGGCGGCGGCCUCGAAGCCUGACUUGGUCGCCGGCGGCGCAACGCCCAUGACGAGUGUCUGGGAAGAAGUCGCCUCCUCGGCCAUCAUCUCUGGGUACAUCUUGCACCUAGACAUGAACCGAUUAAUCCACCGUCAGAAUACAUCACCCAUCAAUCAACCAACCAAUUAAUCACAAGACUGUUCAUAUGCAUGUUUCUCUAGAAAAAUCCAUUCCCCAACAUGAAGAAGAACAAGAAGAAGAAACAAGUAAGAAAGGGGAAACUAGAACAAUCUCUGUUUUUCGCCCGGCCAUCAUCUCAUCAAAUCCAGAGAUCCUGACCCAAAGGUGAUCAACAACAAGAUGGAUCCACGAGGAAUUCGAGGGAAAAAGAUGCAAAAUUUAUACUCCUAGAUAAAGAUUAAAGAUGGAUCGAACUAAGUUACCCUCCGCAGCCGUUGCCGCACUUGCAGCCGGACCCGCACCCGCAGUUGCCGCCGCAGCACGACAUGAUUGAACGAU